UUGCUGAAGCCCCCUUCUGCGGGCCCGCCGAGCGGUUCCGGGUUUAGGGGUCACAGGUCAAAGUUGACUCCCUGAAAAGUGCAGCCGGUUUGAAAUGCAAGAUGGCGGCGGCGGGGUACUGAGAGGCGCGGCGGCCCCUGCAGGAGAAAGCAGAGAUCUACUUCGGAUCUAUUGGUAAUGAUGGCCUGAGCGAAACAGCUCCCAGUCUGAAGGAAGACCAUUCUUCUGUGAAGAACAGGAUGCCCGGGGAGCCAUGGCGAAGUAGAACUGCACUCCGUGGGUUAUUUCAUGGCUGUGCCCUUUCAGGAGGAUAUCCCCAAGCCUUUCUUCUGAGUUGCUUCUGGACCUUGUCAGCUGAUUGGAGGAGCCCUGGUGGCGUAGUGGUUUACUGUGUGGCAUUGACUGCUAAUUAAAAAGGAGAAUAGCAGUCACAAAAGAGCGUAUGUCUUGCCUUUCAGUCACUCUCUUCACUGCCCAGCAUGGAAGCUGCUCCUUUGUUAUUCUUCUGUCCAUUGACACUGGCUAAGGAUCUGAUGGCAAAUCAGGAUCGGUCAGCUACGUUGACACUUGGAAAAAUAGCAGUGACCGAGACAGAAGAACUAGAUGGUGCCCAGCUACCUCUACCAACUGCUCUGGAAAAGAUUGCAUUAGAAGGUCCCACAUAGAGUGGAAGAAAUACAUGGAAUAAAACUCAAAAUCAUUUUUAAAAAGGCCUUUUAAUAUAUUUAAACCAUUAAAUUGUAUGGUACAUGAA